rnacentral:sRNA from 1 species
AAGAGUAUCUUUUUUAUGCAGAAGCAUUGCGGGCUGUGUGCAGGAAACAUGAACUUAUGCAGUAUGACUUGGAGAUGGCUGCUCAGGACUUAGCAUCCAAGAAGCAGCAGUGUGAGGAACUGGUAACUGGGACUGUGAGAACAUUCUCUUUGAAGGGAAUGACUACCAAGCUCUUUGGUCAAGAAACUCCAGAGCAGAGAGAAGCCAGAAUAAAGGUGCUAGAAGAACAAAUAAAUGAAGGAGAACAACAGCUAAAGUCUAAAAAUCUGGAAGGCAGAGAAUUUGUGAAAAACGCAUGGGCUGAUAUUGAACGCUUCAAAGAACAAAAGAACCGAGACUUAAAGGAGGCCCUCAUAAGCUAUGCAGUCAUGCAGAUCAGUAUGUGCAAAAAGGAGAGAUGGUUUCACCAUGUUGGCCAGGCUGGUCUCAAACUCCUGACCUCAUGAUCCGCCUGCCUCCACCUCCCAAAGUGCUGGGAUUACGGGUGUGAACCACCACACCCGGCCCGAGACCUUCUUUCAAAAAGAAAAGAGAAGAAAAAGAAAAUUGUUCAAAACCUUAAUAAAUGACACACUUUA